UACGUAGGGUGCGAGCGUUAAUCGGAAUUACUGGGCGUAAAGCGUGCGCAGGCGGUUCGUUGUGUCGGCGGUGAAAGCCCCGGGCUUAACCUGGGAAUGGCCGUCGAAACUGGCGAACUGGAGUGUGGCAGAGGGGGGUGGAAUUCCGCGUGUAGCAGUGAAAUGCGUAGAGAUGUGGAGGAACACCGAUGGCGAAGGCAGCCCCCUGGGUCAAGAUUGACGCUCAUGCACGAAAGCGUGGGGAGCAAACAGG
rnacentral:rRNA from 1 species